rnacentral:rRNA from 1 species
GAUGAACGCUGGCGGCGUGCCUAAUACAUGCAAGUCGAGCGAACAGACGAGGAGCUUGCUCCUUCGACGUUAGCGGCGGACGGGUGAGUAACACGUAGGUAACCUACCUAUAAGACUGGGAUAACUUCGGGAAACCGGAGCUAAUACCGGAUAAUAUUUCGAACCGCAUGGUUCGAUAGUGAAAGAUGGCUUUGCUAUCACUUAUAGAUGGACCUGCGCCGUAUUAGCUAGUUGGUAAGGUAACGGCUUACCAAGGCAACGAUACGUAGCCGACCGGAGAGGGGGAUAGGCCACACUGGAACUGAGACACGGUCCAGACGCCUAAGGGAGGCAGCAGUAGGGAAUCUUCCGCAAAGGGCGAAAGCCUGACGGAGCAACGCCGCGUGAGUGAUGAAGGUCUUCGGAGCGUAAAACUCUGUUAUUAGGGAAGAACAAACGUGUAAGUAACUGUGCACGUCGUGACGGUACCUAAUCAGAAAGCCACGGCUAACUACGUG